AUAAAAAUCUUGAACCGGGCUGCAGUCAGAUUCGCGUCUGGGCAGACAGCCCAGACACAUGUUGGAAAAACGGGCAUAACUUCUUGCUCGGGUACCGGUUUUAUGCACCGUUUCUUGAUUCCGAAACUAGACUCGCAUAUCUUUCUGAAUAUGUAUGGGUUGUGUCGUGGUUCUUUCUAGAUUAUAGCAGUUUUUGAAUUAAAGUUCAGGUUUUGGUGAUUCUGGAAUUCUGGGCAGGUUUUGUAGCUGUGUUCUUAAUCAAUUUUCUCAUAGUUGAAUAUGCUUCCUGACUAUGGAUGCUGUUGAGUCUUAAACCUUGAUCAGUUGGUGUUGUUUUGGCGUUGGAAAUAUUGGAAAAGAUUAAGUGUGUGAUUUUUAAUGAGCAUUCGAUCGCAGACUGUUCUGCUGGGUCUGUAGUUUCUGUUUUAGAUGUGUAAUUUCAAUGGAGCAUAUCUUAGUCAUUCGGAGUCCAAUUUGGGCAAAUUUUAUAUCUAGAUUGAUGUACUAGAAGCCUUCUUGCUAGUGGUGGUGGUCUUGUAGUAUUCUUUGAAACCUAUAGAAUUCUAUAGUCAGAAAUCGAUCAGUGGUUCUGUUGAUAAUGUGUGAAAUUGUGAAAUUCUUGGUUUGGGUACGAAUUGGUGAUUUUACUUUUGUUCGGCAUACGUUAAAUAGUUGAAUUCAUGCAGAACAUUGUUAAUGCAUUUGUUAAAGCCUUAAAAGUAUUUCUAUACUAAAAUGUUUGGCUUGUGGAUAGGUGACGAGUCGGUGAAUCAAGGAGCACCGAAACCAUAGUUGUACUUUCUUUUGGAGUACAAGUUUUGCAGGCGUUGUAGAUAUCCACUGCUGAUCGUCGUGGGGUUGUACGCUCGCUUAGGGUAGCACGUCGGGAAGGCUGGACUAGUUUUGGCAAAAUUUUGUAGAUAGGGAUGUAGUUGCAGCCUAUGUUUAAAUUUGGUUUAUUGUAUAGUUUAAUGUUUUCUUAAGACUUCCGCUGUGUUUGUAAGAACGUUAAGUUUUGCGUUAUCAAUAAAAUGGUUGUUGGAUAA